rnacentral:rRNA from 1 species
GAUGAACGCUGGCGGCGUGCCUAAUACAUGCCAGUAGAACGCUGAAGGAGGAGCUUGCUCUUCUGGAUGAGUUGCGAACGGGUGAGUAACGCGUAGGUAACCUGCCUGGUAGCGGGGGAUAACUAUUUGAAACGAUAGCUAAUACCGCAUGACAACAGUUAUUGCAUGAUAACUGUUUAAAAGGGGCAACUGCUCCACUACCAGAUGGACCUGCGUUGUAUUAGCUAGUUGGUGAGGUAACGGCUCACCAAGGCGACGAUACAUAGCCGACCUGAGAGGGUGAUCGGCCACACUGGGACUGAGACACGGCCCAGACUCCUACGGGAGGCAGCAGUAGGGAAUCUUCGGCAAUGGACGGAAGUCUGACCGAGUAACGCCGCGUGAGUGAAGAAGGUUUUCGGAUCGUAAAGCUCUGUUGUAAGAGAAGAACGAGUGUGAGAGUGGAAAGUUCACACUGUGACGGUAUCUUACCAGAAAGGGACGGCUAACUACGUG